rnacentral:rRNA from 1 species
UACGAAGGGGGCUAGCGUUGUUCGGAAUUACUGGGCGUAAAGGGCGCGCAGGCGGCUCUUCAAGUCAGAUGUGAAAGCCCCGGGCUCAACCUGGGAACUGCAUUUGAGACUGGAGAGCUUGAGUUCGGGAGAGGAGAGCGGAAUUCCCAGUGUAGAGGUGAAAUUCGUAGAUAUUGGGAGGAACACCGGUGGCGAAGGCGGCAUCCUGGACCGGGAUUGACACUGAGGCGCGAAAGCCAGGGGAGCAAACGGG